UAUUGGAAAGUCAUAUAAGAGAUUUUUUUUUUAUUCGACUUUUUUUUUUCUUGUAAUCUACUAUCGGAUGGUCUAUUUAUGUGAUUUAGUAGUAAUGUAAUUAUUUAAUUUUCAGUCUUUUGAUUUAAUUUCCCCUAGUAAUUAGUAUUCUACUAGUCAAUGGCGUGCCAGCAGCUGCGGUUAGACGAUUAGUAUAAAAUUUGGAUUAUUCACACUAUCGAAAUUUUAGUUAAAAAAUUAUUAUUAAGGUGAAAUUUAUUUAUAUUUAUACAUAUAUUUGAUUCAGUGUGGUGUUUUUUGUUUACAAACAAGGAUUAGAUACCCUUUUAUUAUAAAUUUUAGGUAUUAUUAGAAUUUCUUAAAACCUAAGGUGCGUUGGCGGUUUCAUACGAUAUUAGAGGAACUUGAGAUUUAAAAGAUAUUCCUCUGUUAUUUUAAUCCAAAGUUUUAUUUUGUAUACCUCUGUAGUUAAUUAUUAUCUCUCAAUUAGUUUUAAUCAAAAUUAUAUUUUUAAAAUUAGGUCAAGGUGCGGAUCAUCUUUGGGGUUUCUUUAGUUACACUUAUGGAUUUUCUUGUUUGUAUGGGAAUAAAAUUGGAUUUACUUGUAAAUUAAUAAGCUAAAAAAUUAAUUUGAUUUUCUUCUAUGGGAUGUACAUAUCGCCCGUCACUUUUGCUCUAAGGUAAAAUAAGUCGUAACAAAGUUGAAAUACUGGAAAGUGUUUCUUGUUUUACCUUAUUUAUUCUCUUA
rnacentral:rRNA from 1 species